GUGUUCGCCAAAAGGAGACAGGCGGCAUCUGUCCUGACAGGGACGGGAACAGCCUUUAAGGCUUACCAAUUAACACACAUGGUUAAGGCUAACCCCUUCGGUGGAUAGAUGAGCUAAUGAUAUGG